UCUAACUAGAAUCCAAAGAUGCAGAAUUCUCUCAGUCACUUUAGAGGUGGUGUUUGAGUUAUUUAUCAUUGGUAAAAAUUUAUAUAUUUGGGUUCUGAUGGAUCACUUAGAGUUUAAGGAAAAGGUAAAUUUUGAAAAAGGUGUGAGUUAUGGCAGGUUUCUUAUCUCAAGGAGAUAUAUGACUAGUAUUUUCCUCCCUUCUUAUGCAGUGGGCUGUAAAUACAUUGAAGAAGCCAGUUCUUACUAUUAAUUGGUUAUAUCAAUGCUGCAAUGAACAUCGCAUUGUUCCUCAAGAAUCCUUUAGGGUUCUUCCUGUUUCUGGUUUGACGAUCUGUGUUACCAGAAUUCCAUCAGAUAAACGGAAGAAGAUUGAAAAUUUUAUCACAGAAAAUGGUGGACAUUAUUCUGCUGAACUUACAAGGAAGUGCACACAUUUGAUUUGUGAUAUAUCCUUUUAUGGUGCUUAAUAUAAAGGCACAAAUUUGAAUCAUAUUCCUAGUUUUCUAGGAUAGACCUGCAUUUUAAGCAUCAUCAUGAAGCAAAGCCUUUAAUUAUCUAUAAUAGUGGGCUGUCUAAGAUCAUGUCUUCACUUUAAUAUAAACCAACACCACACUUUCGUUGCUAAUGUGCUCGUCUAAGAUCACGUCUUCAUUUUUUUUAUUUUUUUUAUCUAGGCCUGCAAUUUCUGUAGUGAGGAAUAUCAUUUACAUCUGUUUUAGUUGUUAUGUUUCUGAUGUUUCAGUUUUUGUCAGUUCUUCGUGCAUGUUAUUGUUAUUGCAAUUCCAUUUAGGAACAUGUUUCGAUCUUGGUCUGCAUCAGCAUUGACUUUCAAACUUAUUGUGUUAUUUGAGUCUUCCUGCAUUGUUUUUCUUGACUGCUUGCACGCUCCAGUUGGAUGAUGAUGCCCUACCAUCGAUGCAUGACAACGUCCAAUUUGAUGAUAGUGAAUUUACCUUGUUUUUUGUAAUCCAAGAAUUUACCUUGAUAUGAAAUGUAUUUUGCUAGAAAUGUAAACAACAUCUUGCUAUAUAUGAAUGUAAAGUUUUAAUAUUUUCGA